rnacentral:lncRNA from 1 species
GGAAAUUUAAAUCAUCAUCCAGACGUGGAAUUUUACCUAUUUUAUCUGAUGAGUUAAUGCACUCAAAUUCCCUGUGAGAAUUAUUCCCUCUCUGAAAGUACCAAGACAGAGGUAUAAGCAUCAACAUCCACUGAAGAACCAGAGAAGUGUGAGGGCUGGUACAUCUCACACAGUGCAAAGCCAGCACUGAGAAGAGGGGACACCUCACCUUGUAAAAAUCAUACCUAGCUCAUGGAAUUAGACCCAAGCAAGCCACAAAAGUGCAAAUCAAACACAUAAAAAACAACAACCAAAAAAAACCCACAAAAAACCAACCAACCAAAAAAAAAAAAAAAAAACCCAACAAAA